rnacentral:tRNA from 1 species
AAAAAUAUCAAAUUUAAAGUAUCUCUUUCACAGGGAAAAGAUGGUGAAACAUCUUUAUAUAUAUUUUUUAUAAUAAUAUUUUAAUUUAUGUUUUU